rnacentral:lncRNA from 1 species
AAAGGUAUAGGGACAGCAGCCAAGGCGAGGGCGGGGCGAAGUCUCGGGGCUGGAGAGGAGAGGUCCGCAGUAAGUGGCCGGCCAGUGGCGGGCUACUGAAGAAGAACGUAGGGCAGGGAUCCCCUCCUGGCGCAGCGGAGGUAGUGGGAGGCAUAGUUUUUGGCAAUAGCCAGCCAAGGAUACAGGGAACAGGUGCGGCGCCUGCACGCUGACUUCACGUGGUGGAUGUCUGGCUGAGAGAGAAGUAGGAAAUCCUCACAACGCUUCUUCCAGCUUUGAUCUGCCUGGGGCAGCCCGUGGUGGAAGAUGACUCUGUAGCCCUGGUGUCUACCAGUAUCCGGAGUGGGAGCCCCAAGAGCCAUGUAGACAGGCACCCAGCACUGUGCCAGCUAUGUGGGAGUUGGCUGGCUCUGGGGACGAGCUGUUGGCAGUGCAGGUGGCUGGCGACAAGGAUGGAGUGUGAGGCCUCGAGACAGGAUGGCAGGCAGCACAGAAGCCUCCGCACUCAGCAGAGCUGCGGUCCUGGCUGCUCUGAGGAUGGAGACUACAGGAGGACUCGGAAUCCUCUGGGAGUGGAGUUACAGCUGGUUGAGAGCCACGUGAGUGCUGGGAAUCAACCUUGGAACCUCUGGAAAAAGCGGCGAGUCAACCACAACCCAUCGCUCAAGCCCCAUUGCUGGGCCUGGUGACAACGCAUGUCAGUCCUGCCUCAGCCCCCUGAAUGCAUGUUUACAGAUGUGCACCAGAGCACCUGACUCAAGUUUUAAACGAUCAUUUUGAGCACUCCUUCUCAUGGCCAUUUCCCUGUAAAUCAGCAGAGACACUGGGGAAUGGAGCAGUUUGACUCCCAUGGCUGCUGGAGUCUCCUUUACUGCCCCGUCUGUCUUGAGCAACACUGGGCUCUGUCUGUUCUUGUCUGCUUUUAGAGUGGGCUGAGCUGGUAACAUAAAGGAGCAACAGCUGAGUGGCGGUGAUGACGCCUUUAAUCCCAGCCCUCAGGAGGCAGAGGUAGGCAGAUUUCUGAGUCUCAGGCCAGCCUGGGCUACAGAAAAAAAAAAA